AUUGAACGCUGGCGGCAGGCCUAACACAUGCAAGUCGAGCGGCAGCGGGAAAGUAGCUUGCUACUUUUGCCGGCGAGCGGCGGACGGGUGAGUAAUGCCUGGGAAAUUGCCCAGUCGAGGGGGAUAACAGUUGGAAACGACUGCUAAUACCGCAUACGCCCUACGGGGGAAAGCAGGGGACCUUCGGGCCUUGCGCGAUUGGAUAUGCCCAGGUGGGAUUAGCUAGUUGGUGAGGUAAUGGCUCACCAAGGCGACGAUCCCUAGCUGGUCUGGGAGGGAGAGCAGCCACACUGGAACUGGGACGCGGUCCAGACUCCUACGGGAGGCAGCAGUGGGGAAUAUUGCACAAUGGGGGAAACCCUGAUGUAGCCAUGCCGCGUGUGUGAAGUAGGCCUUCGGGUUGUAAAGCACUUUCAGCGAGGAGGAAAGGUUGAUGCCUAAUACGUAUCAACUGUGACGUUACUCGCAGAAGAAGCACCGGCUAACUCCGUGCCAGCCGCCGCAGUAA
rnacentral:rRNA from 1 species